rnacentral:rRNA from 1 species
UACAGAGGUCUCAACCGUUGUUCGGAUUCAUUGGGCGUAAAGGGUGCGUAGGCGGUCGUGCAAGUCGGAUGUGAAAUCUCAGGGCUCAACCCUGAAACUGCAUUCGAUACUGCGCGGCUAGAGUGCUGGAGGGGAGACUGGAAUUUACGGUGUAACAGUGAAAUGCGUAGAUAUCGUAAGGAAGACCAGUGGCGAAGGCGAGUCUCUGGACAGCAACUGACGCUGAGGCACGAAGGCCAGGGGAGCAAACGGG